rnacentral:rRNA from 1 species
AUGGAGUUUCACCAGAACCUGAGAAGGCCCGUUGCCCUAUCAAGGAGUGUGGUCAUCACGGAGCAGAGCAGCAUACCCAGCCUGCUGCUCUUAGGUAAGCUCGUCUCUGAUGGCGGCCCGGACUCGGCCUCGCUCCAGGCCAAGCUUCGCCAAACUUGGUGUCCCUCGGGUAUGGUCAACUUCUGGCGAGUCACAGACGGUGCCUUGCUGAUCCAGUUCUACGAGGCGGAGGACCUGACCAGGGUGCUGGACGGAGCACCGUGGUCCUGCGACGGAGACAACCUCUUCCUCGUGCAGCACCUCAAGCCGGGAAUGAACAUGGUCGAUCAGAUCGCCGGGUUCACCAAGGCCGAGCUCUGGGUGCAGUUUCACCUCGUCCCCGAGGAUCACUGCAACCCCACCUCUAUCUAUGCGCUCGCCGCGCGCAUCGGCGAGCCGGUCAACUGCGAGCUGGGAGCGAACUCCAUCGAGUUCCUCCGGGCGCGGAUCCGGGUGGACAUCACGCGGCCUCUUCAGCCAUUGGUCGACGUCGAGCUGGAAAACGGCAAGGAAGCAUGGGUGUCCGUGGUGUAUGAGGGCAUCCCCAGCUUGUGCGGGUCCUGCAGGAUUCUGGGCCACCCGGCGGACCGCUGCCGCAGGGCAAACCAGGCUGCCGCUGCGGCGGCGUAUCGUUCGGAGAAGCCGCCCGUUUACAUUCCAAGCCGCCUAGGGUCAAGACAGUCCACGUCAAGAGCACCAUCAUCACCUCUCACGGAGAAGAAUUCUCCUCGUCAAGAAGCGAAUGCACCUGUGUUGGAGACUGCCCUGGCACCUCCAGCACCAAGAUCAGGGCAAGGGCGACACUUCUCAGUAAAAGGCAGCUGUUCCAACUUCUUCGAGAUCAUCUGUCUCAAAACGUCGACAAAGAAAGUCGGAAAGAUAAAACAUAGCAGCAGUGGGGAUAAUUUGCAAGACCAAGAUCAGGCACUACAGAUAAAUUCUGUACACGAAAGUGUUCAGGAGCCUUCCAUCAUAGAAACAAAAGUGCCUCAUCUAGACACCACCCUGAUCACAUACUCCCAUUUCACCGUGAAAGCACAAGGGUCAAGGUCAAGGAAGCAUGCGAGGAUCGAAGUGAUGUUGGAAACACAAUGCUCACCGCAGUUAAUAAUGGGAUCCAUGCAAUGGCUAUCUCAAAAGGGAAAAGGUUUGUGUGCAGAAUAUGAUGGCAAGUGUGGCAUCAUCAGUAUAUUCGCAUUGCAAAUUGAUCACAACACGGAUCCAGUUGAUCUAAUAAUAUAUCUGUUUCCCAAGUUCAGAACAAAUGCAGACACCGAUGAAAAACAUGAAAGCCCAGCAAGAUUUGCAGACACGAAGAUGUGUUUCCAUGACGAGAAUUGUUGUGAGGUGACCUUGAAGGAUUCUCAAAAAGAAAAAAAGGUUACCUUCAACGAAACAAGAAAUGAUUGGGACCCUUCAAUCAUGGAAGCAGAAGAUACUCAACUAGAUAACACCCUGAUCACACACUCACAUUUCAUUGUAAAAGCAAAAGGGUCAAGAUCGAUGAAACAUGCAAGAAUAGAUGUGAUGAUGAAAACACAAUGUUCACCACAGUUGAUAAUGGGAGCAAUGGACUGGCUAUCCCAAAAAGCGGAAGGUUUGUGUGCAGAGUAUGAUGGACAGAAAGGUAUCAUUAGUAUCUUCGGAUUGCAAAUUGAUCAAAACACAGAUCCAGUUGAUAUAGUCGCAUGCUUGUUUCCCAAGAUCGGCCCAAAAACUGAACUUGCAGAGACCAACAAAAAACCUGAUAGCCCGGCAAGAUUUGCAGACACGAUGAUGCGUUUCCAUGAUGCAAACUGUUGCAAAGUAACUUUAAAGGAUUCUCAGAAAGUAAAAAAGGUUACCUUCAAGGGAACAUCGAAGGAUGGUGUAUAA